rnacentral:rRNA from 1 species
AAAGCGCGAAAGCGUGGGGAGCGAAGGGGAUUAGAAUACCCCCGUAGUCCACGCCGCAAACGAUGUCCCACUAGGUGUUGGCCUCUAAAUAAUAGGUCGGUGCCGCAGUUAACGGCGUUAAGUGGACCGCCUGGGAACUACGGCCGCAAGGCUAAAACUCAAGGGAAUUGACGGGGGCCCGCACAAGCGGUGGAGCACGUGGUUUAAUUCGAUGAUAAGCGAAGAACCUUACCAGGGCUUGACAUGCUCCGAUAAAGCCGUCCGAAAGGACGGUGGCUUGUAAGGAGCGAUCCUUACAAGGCGGUGCACAGGUGAUGCAUGGCUGUCGUCAGCUCGUGUCGUGGGACGUUGGGUUAAGUCCCGUAACGAGCGCAACCCCUGCCACUAGUUGCCAGCGGUACGGCCGGGGACUCUAGUGGAACUGCCGGUGAAUAGCCGGAGGAAGGAGGGGAUGACGUCAAGUCAUUAUGUCCCUUAUGUCCUGGGCGACACACGUGCUACAAUGGCCGGUACAACGGGCAGCCACUCCGCAAGGAGCAGCUAAUCCCAUAAAGCCGGUCCNAGUUCGGAUUGGAGUCUCGACUCGACUCCAUGAAGCGGNAAUGCUAGUAAUG